GAAUCUUCUCAAGGUAU
rnacentral:tRNA from 1 species